CACGUAGUUAGCCGGAGCUUAUUCCUCAGGUACCGUCAAAUUCCUCUUUCUUCCCUGAUAAAAGAACUUUACAUUACGAAUAACUUCUUCGUUCACGCGGCGUUGCUCGGUCAGGGUUCCCCCCAUUGCCGAAAAUUCCCUACUGCUGCCUCCCGUAGGAGUAUGGACCGUUCUCAGUCCCAGUGUGGCUGAUCAUCCUCUCGGACCAGCUACUGAUCAUCGCCUUGGUAAGCUAUUGCCUCACCAACUAGCUAAUCAGACGCGAGCCCCUCCUUGGGCGGAUUUCUCCUUUUGCUCCUCAGCCUACGGGGUAUUAGCAACCGUUUCCAGUUGUUGUUCCCCUCCCAAGGGCAGGUUCUUACGCGUUACUCACCCGUUCGCCACUGGAAACACCACUUCCCGUUCGACUUGCAUGUGUUAAGCAUGCCGCCAGCGCUCAUCCUGAGCCAGGAUCAAACUC
rnacentral:rRNA from 1 species